GCCGCCGCCGUUCUUGUGUCCGUAUCGGUUCCUGUUUCCAUUUCCGCCUCCACCUCUGCCGCCAAAAUCGCACUGGGGUCCAAAACCAGUUUCCCAUCCGGCUUCGAUUCCGGCUUCCAUGCCAUCCUUAGAAACAGCUUCGGUUCCAUCUUCAAAGGGGAAGUCGGCCCCGGCUUUGGCUAAAAUAGGCAUUUCCAAGUCAUCAGAAACUAUUCAGCUUGAAGACAUGAAGAUUAAGGUCCGUCGCACGCGUAUCAAGACCCUAAGCCGAAGAAUCUGCCGUAUAAGCUGCGAAAUUAAGAUGCUCGGUCGCAACAGUGGCUAAGCAGGAUCGGCUCGAUUCUGAGUGAACCGCGCAAACCCUAGCCACACUGAUGCAUUCCCUCUAUAUUUACUAUAGGUCGUUUUUGAAGUUUAUGAUUGAGUGAAUACUGUUUCGAGUCCUGAUUCGAUAGCCGAUAGUAAGUGUUUGCGAUCACUGUGAACGUCGUUUUUGGCGUAGAAUGGCUAGAAAAGAUCUAGCUUUCUCGACGCAUUGUCGUAUAUGUCGUAAUGGGUUUCCAUAACCUUGGUUCUUUUGUGAGUGCAAGGAUACAAGUUCUUCGUGUUCUAUUA